rnacentral:lncRNA from 1 species
AAACGGUGAAUGAAAGAGGACCCGCUGAGGAUAAAAUUGCUUUGUCGGAGCAAUUACCCACGAGGAAGGGGAAGACCCGCUGGGGAUAAUGUUGCUUAAUCAAAGCAAAUAUCCGAAAGGGGAAAGAAAUAUCAAUACCGAAAAUUGGAUAAUGAUAACCACAAAGAGGGGAUUACAUCUACCGGUUAGUAGGUAGAAAACCACGGAACAGUAACCGUCAUCAAUUAGGAUGAACACAAAG